GGGUGAGCUACUAGAGCCCAGUGAGCAGAAUAGUAAAACAUUAUAUUUAAAACAUAUGCUUUCAUGGAAUGCAUCACAUCACAAACAAUUCACAUCACAAACAAUUCGCAUCAAGGAUGGACUUGUCACCAAUAGUCUUCUACACAUUCCAGUGGUGCCAGGGGCGUAGAAUGGGCCUCACUGGUCUUUCUCUUAACAUAACAUGACAUAACAUUCCAAUAUGCCAGGGGCGUAGAAUGGGCCUCACUGGUCUUUCUCUUACUCUGUGUCAGGGGCGUAGAAUGGGCCUCACUGGACUUCCAUACCGUAUCAUCGUCAUCGUAUCAUACCGAGGACUAAUGGAUCAUCCAACAUCCAUCCACAUCAACAUCAAAGUAUGUAAUGCAACAUAUUCGUGGAUUCUAAUGCAAGCAAUCUAAUAUAUCAUGGCAUUCAUGAUGCAUGAACAUGCUCAAAAUUUAUUUACUUUAA
rnacentral:lncRNA from 1 species